rnacentral:rRNA from 1 species
GACGAACGCUGGCGGCGUGCUUAACACAUGCAAGUCGAACGGAAAGGCCCUGCUUUUCUGGGGUGCUCGAGUGGCGAACGGGUGAGUAACACGUGAGUAACCUGCCCUUGACUUUGGGAUAACUUCAGGAAACUGGGGCUACUACCGGAUAGGAGCUCCUGCUGCAUGGUGGGGUUUGGAAAGUUUCGGCGGUUGGGGAUGGACUCGCGGCUUAUCAGCUUGUUGGUGGGGUAGUGGCUUACCAAGGCUUUGACGGGUAGCCGGCCUGAGAGGGUGACCGGCCACAUUGGGACUGAGAUACGGCGCAGACGCCUACGGGAGGCAGCAGGGGGGAAUAUUGCACAAUGGGCGGAAGCCUGAUGCAGAAACGCCGCGUGCGGGAUGAAGGCCUUCGGGUUGUAAACCGCUUUCGCCUGUGACGAAGCGUGAGUGACGGUAAUGGGUAAAGAAGCACCGGCUAACUACGUG